UUUAUUUUAUUCAUUCUGGGGGCUUUCACAGCUUUCUGGCUGUUGGAUAUUUAUGUCCCCAAACUUGCAGCAAGUUUGGUGAAGGCCCCUAAAUUUAUUUUAAUUUAGGUUUUUUAUUCUCUUUUGGUAGAUGGGCUCUAUAUUAAUAUUUAUCUUUUUAUUGUUGUGUUUUUAAGAGUCUUAGGGGGAGGGAACAUGUUUUAAGAUGUUUGGGUACCUUUCCUCUUAACGGAACGCGUUUCCUUCAAGGCUGGUCAGGUAGUCCUUCAGCCACACUGCCCCCCUCCCCCUCUUCCCCUGCAUUGCAUUUGUGCUGUCUUUGGUUUUGGUUUUAGUAAUGUGACUUUGUGUAGUUUCUGAACUGGUGGCAUGUAAAUACCAAUUACUAAUGUUUCCUCUUCUGGGGAGAUGUAUCCUUUGAAGUGCUUAAAAUACUUAGGUUUUAACUGGUAAGUGACAUUUAUAGUCACAAAAUUGUGUAGCCUAAAUUAUAGAGUACAGUUUAUUUGGAGGAGUUUAAGAUAUUAAUACUGCUGCAUAUGUAAGCUGCACCACAACAAAUAUUAAUGUAGAGCCCUAUGAAGAAAUAGAGAUUCAAGUUGGUAAAGUAGAGUAGAAGAAUGGGAGAUUGAAGCUGCAGAUUUUUCAGUUUGUCAGCUUCAGGGAAAACCUUCUGUCAAUUGCUCAAAUACACCAAACUUGUCAGUAUUUUUGUCUGUUGCAACAAUACUGAAAGUCAGCACUUUUUUGAAACCUUGUGGAAUUCUCUUGCAUAUUCAGAAUUUGCUUAGGUAUAUGCCUGUCUGAAGUUCCUUCUGUCACACAGUGACAGUAAAAAAUUCUGCCCUUUGUGAAGAAAAAUAAGCUUUAGUGUUGCUGCUCACUCUGUUGCACAUGUUGACUUAAAGACAACUUUAGCUUCAGAGGAACAGAUUUUGUCCAAGGAGGUCUUGUAGCCUGUCAGCAGUGAAAUAGAAAAUUUACAAAUGUUGGAGUCAAGUUUUAUAACUUUUUUCUAAAUUUUUUAAGAUCUUUUUAAAAUCUGUGGUGUUUUUUGAUGAGCACAGAUUGUCUUUCAUUUCUUCAAGAUUUUGCUACAUAAUGACCUUCAAUGUGAUUUCCAGUAGUUCUAAAUGAUAGAGUUGUAAUUCCAAACUUAGUAGAGUGGAUCUCACAUUCCUGUUGUGCUCUUCUUUGUAUUCUGCUCUUUGCAUUUUUCCUGUGAAAAGUCCCCCUAAAUAAUCUUAUUUUGACUGGAAAAUUGGUAUGUCUUCUGUUAACUAUUUCAAAUUAUUAUUGAGCAUGGUGUUGCUUUUCUAAUUCUUAUUGUGGUGUUACCCUUGAUAACAGUGAAGAUGAGAACAACAUUUCAAGAUACACUACUGCAACUGAUAUUUGUUUCGCCUGUUUAGUCUAUAGGAGCAUUUGGCUUAGUUCUUGUUUCCCUUGAACAUCUAAGGAAACCAUUUAACCAAAAAUAAUAUGCAAUAUAGCUUGUAACUCUUGCUUUAAGUAUCCGAAUCUUAGGGACUCAGAAUGGAAAAUAGGCAAAUUUCAAAAUUCUGAUACUGAACUUCAGUCGGUUUCCGUUUAAGACCAAUGCAGCAUUAGGUAGUUUUAUCCAGCUACUCACAUUCAUCUUAUCAAGCACACAAAGCUAAAAUUCAGAUAUGUUUGUGGUCUUGUGUCCAGUGGAGUACCCUACUUAAAUCCACACUUGGGUUAUAUCUUAUAAAUUGAUACCCUGGUGAGAUCCUGAAGUUUUCGAAUUCAGAGAAACUUCUUUGACCUGUUUUUGUUGAGGAUAACUAGGUUUGACAUGUUCAUGGAAAAGAUGUCUCCAAAAUGCAGUCCCUCUUUUUACUCUGUCAUUGUUUAAGCUAUGUAUACUAAUACUUUUGAGGAAGUGAACUGUUUCUUUGUGUUUUGGCAUGUUUGUAGGCAAAACAGUAUUUCUCAGCACCACAUCGCUAUAGAUCUUUUUUCUUAUUUUUCUUGAAGCCGCUCUUAGACAAUUCCAAGAUCAGUUUCACACUGUUUACGUCUGAAAGAUGGAUUUGACAUUAAGACAAUUCCAUGGGGUGUUAAUGUAUGAAUUAAAGGGGGUUUUGACUCUGGCUUUUUUUUGACUAUGUUGCAAAUACUGUUUGUAACUUCUAGUGGGUAGUUCACACAUCCUUCACUUCCAUCCUAGACAGGACAGGUCUUUUUUGUUCCUUCUUUAGGAGUUGGUGGCUUCAGCAGAUUACAUUCAUGUUACUCUGAUCUGUUACCACAGACUUAAUAUUCGUCCUUAAAUUUGCAGGAAGUUAUGAUGUGCAUUUUUUUUUUUCUUUGUUUUGUCCUUAAAGAUACAUGUGCAAGUGCUGCUGCCUUUCUAGUCACAAGGAGGGCAUAAUGGCUCUAUGCUUUUUGCUGGGAGUAUCUCCUCAGCUAUUAGGCCAGCUGGCCUGUCAUCUCUUCAAAACCACUAGUAAAAUUCUCAUCUAUUGCAAAUGGUUCAUAUUUUGCUCUUUUUGUGAAGUUCUGUUAGUGACGUUUUUUUCCUUGCCUCUUUGUGUAGAUCUAAGCGUGAUAGUUAAAAAAAAACCACACUGUAAACAAGAUCUCUUUGUUUUGAGGGACAGUAGUGUGUUUUUACUGGCACUCCAGUAUUGCAGCAGUCUGUGUAUCGUGAAGUUGUACAUCUCACUGACUGCGGGAUUUAUUUUCUAAUUCUGGCAAUAUUUUAAUGGAAGUAGGUCUUGGGAAUUUUUUUUGUUUGUUUGUUUUUUUGUUUGUUUGUUUUGUUUAAGCUUAAGUAGAGAGGUACAUGACUUUUUCUCAAAAGGCAAGAAUUACUGUACUCUGCUAAAUUGGGUGAAUUUGCACCCACUGUUUUUAACAAAAGUGAAUGGGAGAUGUGACAAAUAAAAGUAUGUACCACGCAUGAAGUUUCGGCUUGCUUUAGAAUUGUGUGAGUUCAUAAUGUGUUCUGUGCCUUGCUUAAUAAAGAUUGUAGCCCUUAAAUACUCUGAGGAAUAGGCUACAUUCAGAAGACUUUUUUUUAAAAAGUGUGUGUCCUUGCUAUCAAAAUAAUCAGACCAGUGAAAUAAUGGUGGUGACUGGGCUCUGUAAAAAUGCAGCUAUCAGUGACUACCAUAUUUUUCUGUACUAGUCAGAGUAGGUAGAUACUAGUUUAGAGUAAGAAAAGUUCUGAGGCAGCCUUUGAAGGGAUCAAGAUAGAACUGAGGUGAUUCUGAAGUGUAAUGUGUACAACAUUCUUCUUGAAGUUCUGAAAAAAACUUAGAGUCUUCUUACACACUGUAAACAGUAGCUGUAUGUAGUCUUUUGAUUGUCAGAGUGUAGAUUCUCAUUAAGGCUUCACUAGAAGAAAAUACAGUUUGAGUACAGUAUUUGUAGAUUCUGUUGUCUAGUGACUGCAUUUUUACUUUUGUCUUGGGAAGGUCUGAGGAAGCCAGGGCACUUUAACUUUCUGCUUUUGCAGACAGCCAUAUCCUGUCUUGAACUACAGGAUCCAGGAUGUUAUCCUCAGUCCUUUGUUCUUAGCAUCCUUAUGAGUCAAUAUUGACUGUCCAUGGUACGAGCUGUCUGGGAGGGUUGGUGUUUAUACACCUGAUCACAAUUGUGAAUAGUGAGGUGCUUGUACCUUCUGAGCAAGUUUACAACAACUUGUUUUGUUCUUACGGGCUUUCUUGCAGUAGGAGCAGUCAGCAACACUGCUAUUCUAAUGACAGUGAAUUUAACCUCUCCAGAAAUACUGUCUUGAACUUAAGUUUUUCUUUCUCAGGGAUUUAAGGAAGUUUAAAAGUUUUGGGAAAAUAGUUGAAUUUUAAUGCCAGGAUCAUCUUAAUUAAAAACAAAUAAGCAUCCAACUUUUAGAGCUUGAAAGCUUCCGUAAAAACUUCUGUUAGCAGUUAAAGCAUUUCUCUCUGUAAGCUAACUGCUGUAUAUGAGAUUCAAGCUUCUGACAUCUCAAAUUUUAUUUCUUAAAUUUUGUCUAAAUCUUAACCAUGUUCCCAGAUGCUCUUCAGAAAGUGUGUGUGUGUGUAAUUCCAACUUCUGCCCUUAGUAGCCACAGGUAUUUGCUAACAGCAGUUUUGAAUUACCAGAAAUUAAUGCUGUACAACCAAAGGAAGCUAUUUCACUGUCUCCCAAUUUAGGAAAUUAUGUAACACUUUGAGAUAAAGGUGUCAUGCAGAGCUUUUUUUCUUCUUUUUUCGUUGAGUUACUUGAAUAUAUGUUACUUGCACUGAAUUCUUUAGCUUAUUUCCCAUAAAUUUUAGUGGAAGAAAAUACAUUUUGUUCUUUCAUUUGUAAAGUCUAGAAUAAGAAAACACACUUUAUGAGACUGUUUAAUGAAGGAACCUGGCAAUGUAAGUAUUGUAAUUUUUUUUAUGUUUGUGGUAGGCACCAAGAUUACCUUGUUAAACUUCUGGCUUAUGUAUGAAACAUAUCAGAAAAGUAAGGGCAAAUUGAAAGAAGUUUUAUAGUUGCCUUUACUUCAUAUGGUCGUCUUAAGCAACAAACUGCGGUAAUUGAAGUUCGGCAGCUUUUUUAAUGAAAAACUAAAUUAUGGGUUGAACUCCUUGGUUUAAUGCAAUUUGUGUUUCUGUUAACUAGCAGCAGAAUUUCAGCAUUUGCUACUUACUGGUAGAGAAGAAAAAUUCCACAGCACUGCCAGUACAGUUUUUGGCUGUGCUGAGAUCUUGGCCAAAGAUGGAAAAGCAGGUCAUACCUUGAUACUUUCAGAACUACAUCUUCAGAUUAACAUGUGGAUUUGGCCUCCCUUCAUACCUAUGCCUCUGAGGAAAGAGUCAUUCAGUGCCAUUAGCGCUGGACCUGUCACUUCUUCUGCAUAUAGUUUUUCUACA